CUAUUUAUGCCUUUAGCAUUGAUAAUUUCAAAAGGAAUCCUGAUGAAGUUAAGGACCUGAUGGAUCUGAUGCUAGAAAAGAUUGAGGAGCUGCUGAGGGACGAAAGCAUUGUGAACCAAUAUGGAAUCAGAGUAUAUUUUAUAGGUAAUUUGAAACUUUUGAGUGAAACUGUGAGGAUUGCAGCAGAAAAGGUUAUGAAAGCUACUGCCAAAAAUUCCAAUUGUACCCUUUUAAUCUGCGUAGCCUAUACGUCACGUGAUGAGAUUGUACAUGCUGUUCAAGUUUCAUGUAAAAAUAAACAGGAGGAAAUUCAACCAUUGAGCUUUUGUAAAGCUAAUAAUGAUGCCAUUGAAGAAGUAGAGGAUAAUAAGAAGGUUAAUGGAGUCAUCCCAUUUGUUUUUUUAGAAUCCCAGAAAGAUGAAGCAGGCAAAUCUCAAGCAACAAUAGCAAGUGUAACCUGCAGUUGUCUGGCUAGAGGAGUUGAAGGGGGUGGCAACAAAAAUAGCAUGGUUGUUCGUGCUGUCCGAGGAUCCUAUGAAGAUAAAUGGGAUAACUGUCAAGCAAUGAUGGAAAAUAGAACUGGCAAUGGUGUGACUUUAUCUGAAGAGAGUGAGAAUAUGCAGGGAGAGUGUUCUAUCAUAAAGCUAGUAGACAUUGAGAAACAGAUG
rnacentral:misc_RNA from 1 species